GCCCGCGGCCCGUUACCUCGUGGUGGCCCGGCGCCUCCGGGAUGCUCGGUCGCGCUGCCACCGCCCCCGCCGCGACCGCUCAGGCCCCGCCCCCGCCACGUCAUCCGCCGCCGGAUCGCGACAGCGCGCGCCGCGUCGGGACAGGGCGCCUGGCUCCGCGCGGGGCUCGCGGGCGGCGGCGCUUCCGGGCCCCAGGGGGCCGCCGUGGCCUCUGGAAUUCCGCCGGCCGCGCUCAGGGGUCUGCAGCCAACCCUCCGCCUGGAGACCCUAGGGAGACAGACCCAGGAUUCGUCCUCCGAGUCACAGCUCCGACCACCGUGCAUCCUUUAAGGUCCCUGCAGACACAUGGACACCGCUGAGCUUCCAGAGCCAACCCCAGGCCUACCUGGGGCCCAGGCUUGAGGACAGUUUUCAGUCCUCAUCCUGCCUGACCCCUCUUGGAGCUGCACCCUCCUGUCCUCUUCCUCUCCCUGUGGUUGCUCCUCCUCCAUCUCCUUCUAGGGCUCCUUUUCCUCUGGUAGCUCUGGGGCUCCGUCUAGGGCCUCCUGAUCUCAUGGAAAGCUGAGCCCUACCCCUUAGCUUCCUGUCCACACCUCAAGCCAUGAUUCUCUUCUGGGCUAUGCAGUCAUUUCCCCCCAGACACGUGUUCACAACUACACAUCCUCUGGUUCCAGACUGCCUACACACAAAACCCUGCUCCCCACCACGUAGUGACCCAGCAGGAAAUGUGCAGCACCCUGAACCCUUCCUCCUCCUGCUCCCCCAGGCCCUGCAUCUCAUGGUUUUCUUCUCCCCAGCCAUAAUAGCCUCCCAAUCCCUAUCCUGCUCUCUCUAACCCAUCCCCACAGGGUAAGAGGUGCUCCUAAAAUACAGAUUGGAAUGACUUCGUAUCUCCUCUGCCUAAAAACCCUUCCAUACUCCUACCUAUAGACCUGAGGUGAUGAUCCUUGAAGAGCGUUCACUGGUGCUGCCCUCCUUGUGCUCUCUGCUUGGAAUACUUUCCCUAAGUGUGAAUGAGAGUACAGGCAUAACAUGCCUUA